AGAACUUUUGGUUCUUUAUAAUAUAUCUUGAUUAAAAAAAAAUAUAAAUGCAAGAGAAUAAUGAAAUUGAAAUAACAGAAAAGAAGUUGCCUAAUAUGAGUGACAGUGGCAUUCCAAAAUUGAUUUGGAGCUAUUAAGCAUUUGGAGCUGAUGCAUAUUAUCACAUCAAAUGCAUCAGAUUGUAAAGGGAGGCCAGCACCUUACCAGUGUCUAUCUACUAUCUACCCAAUUUUAUAAUAUUGACCAAACUCCCUAAUUUAACCUUCUGCCAAAAACACUUUACCCUUCAAAAAGGUUACUUUAGUAAUUAACAAAUUGAAUAUUUUCAACUGCCAUGUGUUGUUUGCUCAUUCGACAGCUUAUGCAAAUUUGUACUUGCUUUCACAUUUCCCUCCAACGUAACACUACUUUCCUUAUCUUUCUCACUCAUCGUUUUCACUUUCCUCACUCUUAGUUGCAGAGUUUUCGUGAGCUCUCCUCCUCCAUUGCUCUCAAAUCAAAGUUUCGGAACCCUCCUUAUUUCCUCUCAAGCGCCGGUAACGAAACCACAGUCAGGUAUGCUUCCCGCACGUUUUCAUCCGUCUCCUGCCAUCAUGUUUUAUUUCUCUUCAUUUGAGUGGUUUUGUUUAACAAAUAUAUGCAAAAGCAUGAACGCCUAUGCUUCUUGUGGCUUUUGGGUUCGUUUUAAUCUGUUGCUUCUUUAUAAAUAUCAAACUUUCCUGGUUUACAUGUUACUCGGUUUUGAAAUGCUUUGAAAACUUUCCCAUGUUGCAGCAUACCUGGUGACCACUGUCCAUUACAGAGUUUGUUUUAUUUGUUUCAUUUGCCAAACAACUCAAAAUGUUUUACUUUCCGAAAAAAACUAGGGAGUUUUUGUUGAUUUACACCUGCCUUUAUACUUUUUCAUUCAGAACGUUUUUAUUUUUUCCCUGAUUAGUUAUGCUUGCCAUCUACCCCAGGAACAAUGCCAAGGGCUCCCAUUCUCAUAAACGAUCUGGUCAAGGGGAACCAAGUCUUGAAAAUGCUGAUUAGGGUUGUUGAUCUUUGGGUUGUUAAUGAGAAAAAUGGCCAACAACACCUUGAAAUGGUCAUUCAAGAUGUAAAGGUGUCAUUUUUCCUGAGAUUCUAAUCAUGGUUUGUUUGUGCUUUUAUAAGUUUCCACUCUUUUGUUUCUGUCAGAACAUUCUACAAUUUUAUUGUUCAGUUCCAAACAUCCUUGCAUUGUUCUGUUUCUGUUAAAUGAACAUUGUUACGCGAUGCUUUUCGCAGGGUGAUAAGAUUCAUGUGACCACUUGGAACCGAGAUUUCAAAGAUUGGUUUGAACAAGUCAAGGAGCAUGAGACAUUUAUUCUGUAUAAUGGAGAGCUCGUUGACAACGAAGGUCCUUUAAAAGUCUGUUCUCACCCACUCAAGCUCGUCUUCAACGGAGGGACUACUAUGACCAAGGUGGCAUUACCCGACAUACCGGCCCACAAAUACAUUUUUCAUCCCAUUGAAAACUUUGUCAAAGGGAGCUACAAGCAUGACAUGUUAUAUGAUGUUAUAGGGGUAUUGCAAGAUGUUGUUAAGACACAAAUGGGCGGUGGUGGUAGGAAAUCUUGCGUCAAUAUUACCUUGCGUGAUGUCGAAGGGAAUGUUAUCGAGGUGGCAUUAUGGGAUGGUUACGGCAAGUAAUUCAUGAACUACACUACCCCGAACAACAUUUCUGGGCCUACAAGUAUCAUUUUGACCCAUGCCUGGUGCAAGCCAAAUACAGUUUCCGGUUUGCCGUCUCUUUCGAACGCAUGGAACGGCUCUAGACUUUACAUUAACUUGGAUCAUCCACAAGUUGCAGAAUUCAAAGCUAGUUUUGGAGCGACUGCUUUAUCCAGUAUACCUGUCAUUUCCCAAUCAUUAACUUGCAAUUCUUCCAUUCAAUCUGCAAACAAUUUCUGGACUAACUUGGGUGAGGUCAAGAGUAUCCAUGCAAUCUCUGAACUAGGAAAGGAUUCUUUCGCAACCACUAUUGGGACUACCAUCGGUUUCAAAGCGUCCAAGAACGGAUGGUAUUUUGAGUCAUAUGCUGGGUCAUCUAGAAAUACAGAUCCUGAACCUGCAUUGAAGUUCAAAGUUGAGGUUGAAGUCGUCUAUGCUAACCACAUGGGAACCUUUGUUUUUUGGGAUAAGGAUUGUAUUCCUUUUACAAAAAUGACUGCUUAGGGAAUUAAGAGAGGUUAUGAAGGAGGCUGGAGAGGACAACCCAAAAAUUUGGCCUGCUCAUCUAGAUGUUUUGUUGAAAAAAGAAUUUGUGUUUCGUGUCAAGUAUCAAAAACAGUUCCAACAAUUCUCUAUCGUGAAAAUACUUAACGAGGACGACCUUUACGCCAAGUUUGACAAAUACCUCACCCCGGAUGAGAGCAUGCCAAGUGAGCCCAUUCUUGCAACGCCCACCACUGCUCCGAUACUUAAUCCAAACCAGCUCACACAAACUUCUGAGCAAUCAAUAUGUGCUGAGCCAUACUCGGCUGCUAACCCGACUUGGAGCCCAAAGGCAAGCUCCAACAGUACUCCAGCCAAGAGGGGAUCAGAGUCAACCUCAUUUAAUGAUAUCAUCCAGCCUGAAGAGAUCACUCCCAAACAAUCAACCACUAAGGCCAAUACUGGAAAGAAGAUUAAGAUUUUGAAGAAAGAAUAAUUUGGUGGGUUUAUUUCAGCAGUUUGUCUCUUUUUUGUUGCUGUUUCUAGAAUUUUGGAUGUGUAAGGAUAUAUUCCACUAACUAAACAGAAUUAUUUUGUGACCAAUCUCAUUAUGACUUAUCUAUGCCAUGUUACU